UGGGGAAUAUUGCACAAUGGGCGAAAGCCUGAUGCAGCAACGCCGCGUGCGGGAUGACGGCCUUCGGGUUGUAAACCGCUUUCAGCAGGGACGAAGGUUUUCUGACGGUACCUGCAGAAGAAGCACCGGCUAACUACGUGCCAGCAGCCGCGGUGAUACGUAGGGUGCGAGCGUUGUCCGGAAUUAUUGGGCGUAAAGAGCUUGUAGGCGGUCCGUUGCGUCGGAAGUGAAAACUCAGGGCUUAACCCUGAGCCUGCUUUCGAUACGGGCGGACUUGAGGGAUGUAGGGGAGAACGGAAUUCCUGGUGGAGCGGUGGAAUGCGCAGAUAUCAGGAGGAACACCAGUGGCGAAGGCGGUUCUCUGGACAUUUCCUGACGCUGAGAAGCGAAAGCGUGGGGAGCAAACAGGCUUAGAUACCCUGGUAGUCCACGCCGUAAACGGUGGCACUAGGUGUGGACCCAUUCCACGGGUUCCGUGCCGUAGCUAACGCAUUAAGUGCCCCGCCUGGGGAGUACGGCCGCAAGGCUAAAACUUAAAGGAAUUGACGGGGUCAUGAGCUGUUU
rnacentral:rRNA from 1 species